rnacentral:rRNA from 1 species
GGGGAAUAUUGCACAAUGGGCGAAAGCCUGAUGCAGCGACGCCGCGUGCGGGAUGAAGGCCUUCGGGUUGUAAACCGCUUUUAAUUGGGAGCAAGCGAGAGUGAGUGUACCUUUUGAAUAAGCACCGGCUAACUACGUGCCAGCAGCCGCGGUAAUACGUAGGGUGCAAGCGUUAUCCGGAAUUAUUGGGCGUAAAGAGCUCGUAGGCGGUUUGUCACGCCUGGUGUGAAAGUCCAUCGCUUAACGGUGGAUCUGCGCCGGGUACGGGCAGGCUAGAGUGCAGUAGGGGAGAUUGGAAUUCCCGGUGUAACGGUGGAAUGUGUAGAUAUCGGGAAGAACACCAAUGGCGAAGGCAGAUCUCUGGGCUGUUACUGACGCUGAGGAGCGAAAGCAUGGGGAGCGAACAGGAUUAGAUACCCUGGUAGUCCAUGCCGUAAACGGUGGAUGCUGGAUGUGGGACCCUUCCACGGGUUCCGUGUCGGAGCUAACGCGUUAAGCAUCCCGCCUGGGGGAGUACG